rnacentral:tRNA from 1 species
UCUAAUGUGGCAGACUAGUGCGGCGGAUUUAAGCUCCGUAUAUAAAGGUUAAACUUUUUUUAGAA